rnacentral:rRNA from 1 species
GACGAACGCUGGCGGCGUGCCUAAUACAUGCAAGUCGAACGCUGAAGGAGGAGCUUGCUCUUCUGGAUGAGUUGCGAACGGGUGAGUAACGCGUAGGUAACCUGCCUGGUAGCGGGGGAUAACUAUUGGAAACGAUAGCUAAUACCGCAUAACAGUAGAUGUUGCAUGACAUUUGCUUAAAAGUUGCAAUUGCAUCACUACCAGAUGGACCUGCGUUGUAUUAGCUAGUUGGUGGGGUAACGGCUCACCAAGGCGACGAUACAUAGCCGACCUGAGAGGGUGAUCGGCCACACUGGGACUGAGACACGGCCCAGACUCCUACGGGAGGCAGCAGUAGGGAAUCUUCGGCAAUGGACGGAAGGCUGACCGAGCAACGCCGCGUGAGGGAAGAAGGUUUUCGGAUCGUAAAGCUCUGUUGUAAGAGAAGAAAGAGUGUGAGAGUGGAAAGUUCACACUGUGACGGUAUCUUACUAGAAAGGGACGGCUAACUACGUG